rnacentral:sRNA from 1 species
GAUGGGGGCGUCUUCCUCGCGGGCCCUGUGCAGGGGUCUUGUAAUGGAAGUUACACGCAGGGCACAGCGUAUAGGGGAGGGGAAAGAUCCUUCUGGCCUUCGGUGGAGAAGUAGCAUCCUGGGUGCGUGCACAGUCUCCUCGCAGGGGGCACUCAUCAGGGGUCCUCUCCCUGGCUCUGAGGCCCUCGGGUCUGGAAGGAACGAGGCGAAUUGGCUUGUAGUGGCCCCAGAGAGGUGGGGAGGAGGAGGAGGAGGAGGAGGAGCCUCCCCAGACCGCCAGGGGUCGCUGCCGAGCCGCAGCAAAUCCAACUGGUCCUCACGUCUUGGC